rnacentral:lncRNA from 1 species
AGGCUCAGUAGAAUUGCUUCAGACAUGAAAUAAAGCUAAAAUGAAUUUGUGUCCAAUAUCAUUGGCAUUAGUGCUCAUUACUGUUGUGGUGUAAUGCCUCAAACCAUCUAAAAUCAAUUUUAGAAACUAACCAGGCUCAAAACCAUGGUUCCCUUUGUUUAUCUGCAGAUCUGUCCUGUUUAAGGUAAAAUUCACCCUGGGCCCUCGCCCCUGACCUCCACCAGGUGACUUUUCAUGGAGACAUUCUCACUGCCAGCAAUCCUUCAACUCUUUCCACAGAAGUCUGCCAGGAAGAGAAAUGUCCAAAGUCCAUUUUGAGCUCUCAGCCUGGGAUUUAGCUGCAAUUUUUCAUGGACACUGGGCAAUUACUGGCAUACGAAGCCAAGGAGAAGCAAGAGAGGGAAGGCCCUGCUUCUCUAGUGAGAUCAUCAUCUUUGCAUCAGUCACUGUUAGAGACAUCUCUGGUUUCUGUUCCCAGCCUAACUGCACAGAAAAGAGAUAUUCUAGCUUCUCCCUAGUUACGCAUAUGUGGAGAAAACUGAAAAAGAUGGGUAAUCAUGGUUGUUGUAAGUACUUGGGGGCUCCAGAAGGUGUCCCUAAGAACUCCAUAAAGAGGGGCUGUUGUUUCUCUGAGAUUUAAACCUUUAGCACAAAAUGGAUCACAGUGCAGCUGCUGGAAGUCAUCCGAAGGAGCUGAAAAUUUUCCAAGCCCACACCCUCAAUUGCAACUUGUUUGAGCAAUUUUAUUAGCAAAUCUAAAGAAAUAAUGCUUUGAUCAGAAAGGAGAGGGUUUACUCAGCAUGGAAGCAGGACAAAAAAAGGGACUCAAAGGCAAAUGUUAGCAGGGACUGCCCAAACCUUGUCCAAAAGAGAAGGAGCUGAAGUCAAUCGACGGGUAAUUUCUAGGCCUCUUGAAAGAUGCAUCUCCAAUACGGUGUCAGAAAUCAUAGAUAUCACAAGUCUGUAAUCAACAGAUUUCAAGGAUUCAGGUCCCCUUUGGGAAGAACAUCCCAUCCUAUCAUGGUGCCACUUAAACACUUAGUUUUCCUGUCUCAAUUCAAUGUUCACCAAACCUUGUCUUCAGGUUGCCUUGUUGCUGCUGAACAUUUGCCAACAGAAAGUAGACAGGAUGCUGACACUGUUGUAGACCAUCUCUGAUAGUGAUUUCUUAUUAAAAAUGUCAAUGCUGUGUUUUGAUCUUAUACAUACAUGCUGUGUGCCUGCUAAGGAGGCUUCCCACAGAAAAGCUGCUGCUGCUUCACCUCAGCGUAUACCUUGACACAGUUGCUAUCCUGAAAGCGGUUUUUUCUUACCAUUUUAACUAGUUUUAAGUGACCAGUUGAGCGGCAUUAAGCACAUUCACAUUAUUGUGCAACCGUCACCACCAGCCAUCUCCACUUUCUAACCACCAGCCAAGGGCUCUCUUCACCACCAAGCCAACUCUCAGGGCAGCAGCAAUGUGUACCUUAUCUUUCCAACAAGGACAUUAUUUCAUUUUAUGGAAACUGGGAGAGAUGUUUUGUCUUCUGAAGUAUCUGGAGAUUUCUUCUUCAUUCCCAGACUCUUUCAUCAUCAAAACUACACAGCUUCUCACGGUCACUUACUUUGUUAAAUUUGUAGUUUAAAAUGAACAUAAGGAAAACUACUUCUCCAACAAAGGAUGCAGAGUUCCUGUUGUGCUCAACUCUGCCAGAUCGUGGGCUUAUUGACAAUAGGUUUGGAA